rnacentral:rRNA from 1 species
GGGGAAUAUUGCACAAUGGGGGAAACCCUGAUGCAGCCAUGCCGCGUGUGUGAAGAAGGCCUUCGGGUUGUAAAGCACUUUCAGCGAGGAGGAAAGGUUGAUGCCUAAUACGUAUCAGCUGUGACGUUACUCGCAGAAGAAGCACCGGCUAACUCCGUGCCAGCAGCCGCGGUAAUACGGAGGGUGCAAGCGUUAAUCGGAAUUACUGGGCGUAAAGCGCACGCAGGCGGUUGGAUAAGUUAGAUGUGAAAGCCCCGGGCUCAACCUGGGAAUUGCAUUUAAAACUGUCCAGCUAGAGUCUUGUAGAGGGGGGUAGAAUUCCAGGUGUAGCGGUGAAAUGCGUAGAGAUCUGGAGGAAUACCGGUGGCGAAGGCGGCCCCCUGGGCAAAGACUGACGCUCAGGUGCGAAAGCGUGGGGAGCAAAC